UCAUCUACAGUACCAUCAGCAAUAGCAACAGUAUCAACUGCAGUACCACCAGCAACAAUAUCUGCAGGACCAUCAGCAUCGUAUCAAGAUUUCCUGCGAUAUCGCUCCCAGCACCCAGGUCCGAUAUCUCAAAGAGCUUUCUACCGGUGGAGUCAAUAUGGGGGAGAUGAUCCCUCCUUUAGAUGGAGGAGGCAAGCCCCAUAUGACACCACUGGUAGAAGGAGGGGUGCU
rnacentral:lncRNA from 1 species